rnacentral:rRNA from 1 species
UUGGAUCCUGGCUCAAACGUACGCUGGCGGCACGCCUAACACAUGCAAGUCGAACGCAGUACAAUACUGAGUGGCAAACGGGUGAGUAUAAUGUGGGAAUCUGCCUUUUGGUUUGGAAUAACACGGGGAAACUUGUGCUAAUACCUGAUAAGUCUUUACGGAGAAAGCUUUAUGCACCAUUGGAUGAGCCUGCACUUGAUUAGUUAGUUGGUGGGGUAAAGGCCUACCAAGACUUUGAUCAAUAGCUGAUUUGAGAGGAUGAUCAGCCACAUUGGGACUGAGACACGGCCCAAACUCCUACGGGAGGCAGCAGUGGGGAAUCUUGCACAAUGGAGGAAACUCUGAUGCAGCGAUGCCGCGUGAGUGAAGAAGGCCUUUGGGUUGUAAAAGCUCUUUCGUCGGGGAAGAAAAUGACUGUAC